rnacentral:rRNA from 1 species
AAUGGGGGCAACCCUGAUCCAGCCAUGCCGCGUGAGUGAUGAAGGCCCUAGGGUUGUAAAGCUCUUUUGUGCGGGAAGAUAAUGACGGUACCGCAAGAAUAAGCCCCGGCUAACUUCGUGCCAGCAGCCGCGGUAAUACGAAGGGGGCUAGCGUUGCUCGGAAUCACUGGGCGUAAAGGGUGCGUAGGCGGGUUUUUAAGUCAGGGGUGAAAUCCUGGAGCUCAACUCCAGAACUGCCCUUGAUACUGAAGAUCUUGAGUCCGGGAGAGGUGAGUGGAACUGCGAGUGUAGAGGUGAAAUUCGUAGAUAUUCGCAAGAACACCAGUGGCGAAGGCGGCUCACUGGCCCGGUACUGACGCUGAGGCACGAAAGCGUGGGGAGCAAA